rnacentral:rRNA from 1 species
CCUACGGGAGGCAGCAGUAGGGAAUAUUGCUCAAUGGGGGAAACCCUGACGCCGCACCGCCGCUUUGCUGAUGAAGGUUUUCGUAUUGUAAACUCCUUUUGUUAGAGAAGAUAAUGACGGUAUCUAACGAAUAAGCACCGGCUAACUCCGUGCCAGCAGCCGCGGUAAUACGGAGGGUGCAAGCGUUACUCGGAAUCACUGGGCGUAAAGAGCGCGUAGGCGGGAUAGCAAGUCAGAUGUGAAAUCCUAGGGCUUAACCAUAGAACUGCAUUUGAAACUGUUAUUCUAGAGUAUGGGAGAGGUAGGUGGAAUUCUUGGUGUAGGGGUAAAAUCCGUAGAGAUCAAGAGGAAUACUCAUUGCGAAGGCGACCUGCUAGAACAUAACUGACGCUGAUGCGCGAAAGCGUGGGGAGCAAACAGGAUUAGAUACCCCUGUAGUC